AUGUACCAGUCGUACACUUCGGUUCUGAGCGCGCCGUCCGCGCCCACCUGACAGCUGCUCGCUACGUUUGUUAGCC
rnacentral:sRNA from 5 species